ensembl:lncRNA
CGUGGCCUAUGCCAAAAGAUGCAGCAGACUCCAGUGAAUAUGUGCGUACAAGUUUUUGACUGUGGGAGGUUCGGUGUGGGAGUUAUAGCCCCAAACGCGUAUUCCUUGGUAUAGCGCCACCUAGUGGCCGGCAUGUCUGGAUUUUGUCGUCUGCGUAGUCCCCACGGAUCUGGAUCUAGUCAUGCAAUUGGCGUGUCGGCACCAUUUACGGUUUGGGCUGUGGGCACACUUUUAGGGAGGUAAGUAUAAUAACUAGAACUGCAAGCAGUUAUGCAGGGGUCCAAGAAGUGUGCAUUUCGCCGGCACAACGCGACAAGAAAUGUGCGUUUCGCCGGCACAACGCGAAGCAAGUAUUCAAAACGCUACCGUGAACAACAUGUGGAUAUAAAGGUUUUGACUGUGGGAGCUUCGGUGUGGGAGUUAUAGCCUGAAACGCGUUUUCAGAACAUUCCAUUGGCCAAAUAGGAGAUAGACAAUGUCGUCGUUUUUUUGCACCC